AAGACGUGAGACAACCUGAGAGGCAUCUUUCUGCUGAGGUUACCACUUACCCCGGAAGAUGCUUUUGGCGCUCAAGUGUGGCAUGAAAGCUUCCCUUAGAUGGCAGGAUAAGGGGAAUGUGAGACACGUAGAGAGAGUAACUUGGCACCUGAGAUUUAUUAAUAUUUUAAAUGUGGAAGGCCCGCAUCCCAGGGCUUACUCAGUGCUUGCUGGGGAAGAAUCCAGGUAAACAAACCCCCAUCACCAAAAACAAAACCUCACCGCUGUGUUGUGUUCCUCCAUCAGAGAACGACGGCGAGCUAAUUAUUAGGAUAUAAGCACAUCCGCAUCCUUCAGACAGACAAAUGAAGGGGUUUAACUAUAUAUCUGUUGUUUCUCCAUCAUAACAUCCUUGGGGACAAAACUGAAAUCAUAAUUUUAUUAACGACCCGCAGAAGAGAUUGGAUCAAUUUUUCCAUAGACUCAGAAUUUGGCAAUGAAGAGAUCAGGCUGAAAGUCGAAGAAAAAGAAGAAAAGGAAACUGGGGACGCUUUGUUCUCCACACGGAGUUUUUUCUACUCAGAUGGAUCUGAAAGGGAAAUAAAAAUAAUCAGAGGUCAUUUGGUGGGCAGAUUUUGGCUCCAGGGUUCCCUGGGAUUUGUUCAAAGGAAAUCUGUCCUCCCACAUGUCCCUUGCAGAGAUGGCUUGGCCUGCGUGUACCCAUGUCAGUCCGCCCAGGUGACAGGGAUGAACGUCCCUGAAGGCUGUGGCUUCCCCCCCCAUAAGUUACUUGCAUCUCAUGGUGAAUGCUGGCACCGUCAGUCAUGACACGCGAGAGGAGAACAUUCCUGCUGAACUUCAAUAAUUUAGCCAAGAGGAGUGAAAAGUCAGGCACAAAUUGAGGACAGGCAUACCUGCUGAAGAGCCUAGAUCAGGAAGACCUCCGUCUCCAGCCCCUUGUUUUGCUCCUCCCUGCUAUGGCCCCGCACUUGGAGCUGACAUCUAUUACAGCUGUCCCCGACUGUCCACUCUGGAUGACAGCUGCUUUCUUGCCAGGCCACCACCACUGCGGUGCACCAGAGCUCUGAGAUCAGACCGAGCUUCCCCACUCCACCCAGCGUCUGGUCCAGAUGGCUGCCUUCUGGAGAUGUCUUAGAGAUCCGAGGAACAACUUCCGCUGUGACACGAGACAUGGGAAAAUUUAGACACGUCGGUAAGCCCUCACCAUCACUGACGGAUUCAGUUUAAGCCACAGCUCCCACGGAACUAAGCGACUUCUCGGAGCAACAGAAGCACGAGCAGAGACCCCUGCAAUUCCGGUGUGCUCGCGCAUGCUUCUCCCCAAAUUUAAAGUACUCUCCACAUGCUGCUUCCGCUGCCCCAGGAGCACGGGGUGCUGCAGUGUCACUGACAACCCCAGGGGCCACCCAGGGAACCUCGCAUCCUGGUGGUCCUCUCUAUGUAUGGAUC